AACGAACGCUGGCGGCGUGCCUAACACAUGCAAGUCGAACGCGAAAAGCAGUAAUGCUGAGUAGAGUGGCGCACGGGUGAGUAACACGUAAAUGACAUGUCCUCGAGACGGGAAUAACCAGCCGAAAGGCUGGCUAAUACCCGGUAAGCCCACGUCUUUGGAGAUGAGGGAAAAGGGUCGGGAAUUUUCGAAUCCGAUCGCUUGAGGAGUGGUUUGCGGCCCAUCAGGUAGUUGGCGAGGUAAAAGCUCACCAAGCCUAAGACGGGUAGCUGGUCUGAGAGGAUGAUCAGCCACACUGGAACUGAGACACGGUCCAGACUCCUACGGGAGGCAGCAGUGGGGAAUCUUGCGCAAUGGGAGCAAUCCUGACGCAGCAACGCCGCGUGGGUGAUGAAGGUCUUCGGAUCGUAAAGCCCUGUCGGAGGGGAAGAUGCUUGGAACGUCUAAUAGAUGAGCCAGGUGACGGUACCCUCAAAAGG
rnacentral:rRNA from 1 species